rnacentral:rRNA from 1 species
UAUGUAGGGGGCAAGCGUUGUCCGGAUUUACUGGGCGUAAAGAGCGUGUGGGCGGCCAAGCAGGUCCGUUGUGAAAACUGGAGGCUUAACCUCCAGACGUCGACGGAAACCGCGUGGCUAGAGUCCGGAAGAGGAGAGUGGAAUUCCUGGUGUAGCGGUGAAAUGCGCAGAUAUCAGGAAGAACACCAAUGGCGAAGGCAGCUCUCUGGGACGGUACUGACGCUGAGACGCGAAAGCGUGGGGAGCGAACAGG